UUAAUCAUAACCUAAAAUAAGGUACUUUAUUGUUAAUAAAGAUUAAUGGAUAAAAAUCCUGAUUA
rnacentral:tRNA from 1 species